rnacentral:lncRNA from 1 species
GUGGUGCGUCUGUGACCAUAUGGAGGCCUUGGCGCGCUCUCCGAGGCUGUCCCUCACCUGACCCUUGCUCUUAAGUCUGGCACAGAGUCGAUGGGCUUCGCGGUGAGGCCGUGGCUUCCCCUCCCAGAGCUUCCCUGCCAGGCCAUGCUGGGGUUAGGAGGCGACCCGGUGAUAAACCAAGCAGGGCAGGCGUGACGGGGCACAGGCUUUUGAGGGAUGUACCGUUUGCUGUGCGUGCACAGCCCCGGCUUCCAAGCGCCACCUCCCGGGAUGGGCCUCUGUUCUGCGGAGGCCACGGGGACCCUCCCGUGCGACUGUCCACUCCUCAGGCUCCCUGCCCCGACGGUCUCCCCACGGCUUCUGCGCCCCCUGCCCCGUUGGCUCAGUGCGGCCGCUGCCGUGGGGCGCUGCGCGGGGAGGCUGGGCCCUCCGGCUGCGGUUUCCAAUUCAGGCUGGCUUCCCCCAGGGCUUCUGUGAUCCUGCUGCACCGUCCCUAGAAGGCUCUUCUACAUUUAGUCCCUUGGCUUUUCACCCUGCACCUGACCGUCUUUUCUAUUUCCCUGGGAAAGUCAGGAUUAUCCAGGAAUGAGUCCCACAUCUUCCUCCUUCUGGCUCACGGGGUGAGGGGCUUUCCCCUCACGUCUAUCAGCGGACACACGUCCACCUUUGCUAAGCUGGACCCUUCCACCUGGCCUUUGUGCAGCACAGCCCUGGGGCUUGUGCCUGGUGUCUUGACCCUGCGGGCUCCCCACCUUGAGCGCACCCCUGUUCCUAGACGGCCUGGGACAUUUAAAACACAAGCAAAAAAAAAAAAAAAAACCCUAAAAAAUAAAUAAAUAAAUAAAUAAUAAAUAAAUAAAUAAAUAAAUAAAUAAAAAACCAUAAGCGGAAAAACUUUGUGGGCCCAAACUCAUUUUUUUUUGGAAAAAUUCUGAAGUUAUGUAUCUGGAUAAUAUUUCAUGUUUGAACGCAUGUCUUCAUUCCUUUCCUUGAGAUUUUAUUUUUCGUUCUUACCCACGCACACAAGGUGCCCGUGCAUUCCCGUGUGCCCCGGGGAAGAAUGUUGCAGAACGGGGAGACAGGAACCCCAGGUUGCGUCGCCGAAGGUUCAGUGAUGGCAGACGGUGUAGGACGUGGCAGGUUAGACUGGAAGAUCUUCGCAAGCCAGAGCAAGAUGCACCCCUGAGACUAUUUUGGGAAAGCGAAGGAAGCAGGCCGGAGGCUGCAGGCGAAUGCGGUCCCGCAGAGAAGGGUGCAGGGGGCCGUGGGCUCCCCGAGGCGAGCACCGUGCAGACACCGGUGCGGGCUCGGGGGGUCCUGGGCCGGGACAGGCCGACCACAGAGUUCGGCGGCCGAAGCAAAACUGAAGUUGACUUGUGUCAGAAGAUCGACAUCCCCAGAUCGAAGCUAGAGGUGAACCAGAGCAGUCGUAGGAAAACAACAACAACAACAAAGAGACUAUCCUUUUCUUUGCAAUUUGGAUAUGCUGCAAACACGAUGAGCAGCUUUCUGACUGGGAUCGGAAAGGAGGUGGAAGAUCCUUGUUACCAUCAUAACAGUAAGAAUUAGACAUUAUAAAAGGGGUAUUUAUCUAGGAAGCUAUUGAAGAGAUGUGGAAGCAAGAAAACGCCCAACGGACUGAUCUUCAGAGAGAGGUCACCUUACCCGUGAGGAAGGAAGCAACACUGGAGAAGAAAGCUUGGCAGCGUUCAGAGAGACGAGGAAGCGAUGUCGGGGGCGGGCUGGGGUGCUGGGGUCUCGAGACUCUCAAAUGCAGCAAUAAUUUACUUGACCUAAAAAUUCUCCCUAGCUUCCCAGUCUCCUUGUGCUGAGAAAAGGGGAAGUGCGGGUGGGACCGUCAAAUAGAAGAGUCUAGUCUCACGUCUUCUUGUGAUUUUACCCUGUCUCAAAAGAUGAAACGUGUCUAACUCCCGCCAGGCUCCAGGAUUGAAUAUUGAUGAGACCAAAGAAAUCAGACUUGGCGAGAAGCACUGUAGCUCUGGGAGGACAGGACGGUUGAAAGGCAAGGUCAAUUUUAAACACUUGCCUAGGCUAACGUUCAUGUUAUACUUAAGACAAUCGGAGCAGUCACCUCCUCACUUCAGCAGCCCUGCACUGGAAAGAGAUUGCAUGUUCUUAGAAAUAAAAACAAAGCAAAAGAGCUG